rnacentral:rRNA from 1 species
AAGCGGUGGAGCAUGUGGUUUAAUUCGACGCAACGCGAAGAACCUUACCUAGGUUUGACAUCCCGGGGAGUCUCUUGAAAGAGAGAUGUGCCCUUCGGGGAGCCCGGAGGACAGGUGCUGCAUGGCUGUCGUCAGCUCGUGUCGUGAGAUGUUGGGUUAAGUCCCGCAACGAGCGCAACCCUUAUCUUUAGUUACCAGCACUUCGGGUGGGGACUCUAGAGAUACUGCCCCGGUCAACGGGGAGGAAGGUGGGGAUGACGUCAAGUCCUCAUGGCCUUUAUGCCUAGGGCUACACACGUGCUACAAUGGGCGGUACAAAGGGUCGCGAUCCCGCGAGGGGGGAGCCAAUCCCAAAAAGCCGUCCCAAGUUCGGAUUGGAGUCUGCAACUCGACUCCAUGAAGCUGGAAUCGCUAGUAAUCGCGGAUCAGCAUGCCCGCGGUCGAAUACGUUCCCGGGCCUU